GGGGAUGGGAGGACACAUUUUGCUCUUGCCUUUGAACUCCCAGGUGGCUGGCGAAAGGAGAAAGAUGCUAUGACCUUAACUGUUCUUCAGAUGCUACUGGGGGGUGGAGGGUCCUUCUCAGCUGGUGGACCUGGAAAGGGGAUGUACUCUCGGCUGUAUCUUCAGGUCUUAAAUGAAUAUCCACAGGUCCAAUCAAUUUCAGCAUUCAGCAAUAUUUACAACGACAGUGGCAUAUUUGGCAUCCAAGCAACUACUGGUUCUAAUUUCGUGCCGAAAGCCUUUGAUAUUGCAGCUAGCGAACUGUUAGCCAUUGCAAUGCCUGGAAAAGUUCAACAGGUGCAGCUAGACCGUGCCAAACAGUCAACUAAGUCAGCUGUGCUAAUGAAUUUGGAAUCCAGG
rnacentral:misc_RNA from 1 species